AAUAUUAACAUUUGAUAAUAUGAUACUUUUAGCUCUGAUGAAUUACCUUUAGAUUCACCCCAUCAUAUAUCCCCCGCACACACAGGGUCAAAUUUUAGUUGUUGUUGUAGCUGCUCUGGUGUGUCCAUUACAGCCUUGGCUGCAUGGGCAAUUGUGAUUGAAGACUCUGUCUCCAUCCCUCCACUUUGUGGUCAAAACCACCUUAUGGGUGGGGAUUGAUUGUAUCCCAGGCACGGCAUCCUGCACUAAGCCAGUAUGGAAGGCUGGUUAGCCAACGACGGGUAAGAUCCCACCUUGAAGACCGGGACAACCUAAAACAGGCACAGUCACGAUUACUUGGCAGUCACUGUGAGCACUGGCUCACUUGAUGAUGAAGUGACAAACUGCAACCAUCAUAGGAAGAGCCGUAGGGUGAAAGGUGGAGGAGGAACAGGAGUCAGAUAUGGCAGCCCCAGCAGCAGAGGUGGUGGUAUUGGGACAGGGCAUGUUGCGUUUUAUUUGACAGUUGAGGCAUGAAGGCCUGCUGACCCAUGAAAUCUUUUCGGUUUAGUGCAUGACUUGGUAACGGCGUGGUUUCAGGGCGGCUGAUGGUAAAACCCACCAAUAUCAACCUUUGGUUUUGGAUAUACUGGCUUCGAUUUCCCUUCCCAAUAGAUUGGUGUUAGUUUACGGAUGGUUAAGGUUAGGAGUUCCAACGUUGGUUCCACCAACGGCAUUGUUAGGUUGGCUUAUCAUUUAAGUGCGCAUGGUUUUGACCAUUGCGCAAGGGGGGAGGUGUUGAGGAGUGUUGAGGAGAAUUAGAAAACAAGGUUUUUUCUUCACCAUAAUUACAAACAAUAAUUGAUAAACCAACUAAAUGAGUAUAAAUUAUGUGCAAAAAACAAUGUAAGAAAAAUAAUCACUGCUACAUUGGGACACAUUCCCACACCUGAAGGACCAUUUUGACAUUUGGGCAUGAACUAUGUUGACAUGUUGUGCAUUCAUGCCAAGGUUUGAAAUUCAAUCAGAGAUAAGUUCAGACAAUGGGCCAGCGUAUAUUCAGCAAACACUUAUUCAAGCACUAAAUAGAAUUGGUUAGAUGCAAUUACACACACACACACACACACACACACACACACACACACACACACACACACACACACACACACACACACACACACACACACACACACACACACACACACAUCUAUACACACAUAAAACAUUUAAGAAGGAAUGCAACUGAGGCAUUAUCAAUUAUAAUACAAACAUAUUUAAAACACAUACAAAUUUCGGGUCCAAUGUUUCCAGAAGCAAGGUGAGUACCUUGUAUCUCUCUGAGAGAUAUCAAUUAGACAUCAAUCAAUAUCUAUAGCAAUACUGAGUUAUCACAUACAAGCUAAUAGAAUGACACAGCUAACUUUGCACAUAAUGCUUACGGUUAGAUUCAUGCUUUCACUUACAUUUCAAGGGCCCCAUAAGGGACUUCCAUUAGAACAAUUAAAAAUAGAAUCAAAGGAAAUAUGUUUUUGAACAACUAACUGCUGUACAUGAGUUUGUAUUUCUACAUUAGAAACGCAAAGUUCCAGAGCCAUAUGCAGACACACCCGGAGCCUACAAACUACCUCCGCCAAGCAAGGAGUAACAGCCACAUGAUGCAAUUAAAUAGUGGCAGGGGUUUGAAUGAAUUCUGUUUUUGUGUUCAACCAUUC
ensembl:lncRNA